CUACGGGGGGCUGCAGUGGGGAAUAUUGCACAAUGGGCGCAAGCCUGAUGCAGCCAUGCCGCGUGUAUGAAGAAGGCCUUCGGGUUGUAAAGUACUUUCAGCGGGGAGGAAGGGAGUAAAGUUAAUACCUUUGCUCAUUGACGUUACCCGCAGAAGAAGCACCGGCUAACUCCGUGCCAGCAGCCGCGGUAAUACGGGGGGUGCAAGCGUUAAUCGGAAUUACUGGGCGUAAAGCGCACGCAGGCGGUUUGUUAAGUCGGAUGUGAAAUCCCCGGGCUCAACCUGGGAACUGCAUCUGAUACUGGCAAGCUUGAGUCUCGUAGAGGGGGGUAGAAUUCCAGGUGUAGCGGUGAAAUGCGUAGAGAUCUGGAGGAAUACCGGUGGCGAAGGCGGCCCCCUGGACGAAGACUGACGCUCAGGUGCGAAAGCGUGGGGAGCAAACAGGAUUAGAUACCCCCGUAGUC
rnacentral:rRNA from 1 species